rnacentral:rRNA from 1 species
GACGAACGCUGGCGGCGUGCCUAAUACAUGCAAGUUGAGCGCUGAAGGUUGGUACUUGUACCAACUGGAUGAGCAGCGAACGGGUGAGUAACGCGUGGGGAAUCUGCCUUUGAGCGGGGGACAACAUUUGGAAACGAAUGCUAAUACCGCAUAAAAACUUUAAACACAAGUUUUAAGUUUGAAAGAUGCAAUUGCAUCACUCAAAGAUGAUCCCGCGUUGUAUUAGCUAGUUGGUGAGGUAAAGGCUCACCAAGGCGAUGAUACAUAGCCGACCUGAGAGGGUGAUCGGCCACAUUGGGACUGAGACACGGCCCAAACUCCUACGGGAGGCAGCAGUAGGGAAUCUUCGGCAAUGGACGAAAGUCUGACCGAGCAACGCCGCGUGAGUGAAGAAGGUUGUCGGAUCGUAAAACUCGGUUGGUAGAGAAGAACGUUGGUGAGAGUGGAAAGCUCAUAAAGUGACGGUAACUACCCAGAAAGGGACGGCUAACUACGUG